UCCAGCGAAACGCAACGCCGACGGCCCUCCACCUCCGCCUCCGCCGGUUCACUCCGUCGCCCUCGACUCCGACGCCGCCUCCUCCCCUGAACCCGACUCUGACGCCAACGCCCCUCCGCCUCCCUCUCGCGACCUCUAGUCCCCUUUUCUUCUUGUUCCCUCGCCCUUGGCCUCCAAAUGCUGAUGUUUCCAAUAGCAGUAAGUUCUCCAAGGUAGUUGAGUAUUUCCGGUUGGUGGGACAUGUAAUGGCUAAAGCUCUUCAAGAUGGACGGCUUUUGGACCUGCCAAUGUCUCCAACGUUCUAUAAGCUUGUGCUUGGACAAGAGCUUGAUUUGCAUGAUAUCAUCUCUUUUGAUGCCGAGGUUGGGAAGGUAUAGGAAGAGUUGCAUGCUCUUGUUUGCCAUAAACGAUUUCUGGAAUCAAGCAGUGACGACAAUCGUGAUGCAAUUGCUGAUUUACAUUUUCGCGGGGCCUGAAUUGAAGAUCUCUGUUUCGAUUUUAUACUUCCUGGUUAUCCGAACUAUGUCCUGAAGUCAGGGGACGAAACUGUUGACAUAAAUAACCUGGAGGAAUUCUUAUCCUUGGUGGUUGAUGCGACUGUCAAAACGGGAAUUGCUCGACAGAUGGGAGGCAUUCAGAGCAGGGUUCAAUCAGGUUUUUGACAUCUCAUCUCUACAAAUAUUUACUCCACAUGCACUGGACUAUCUACCCUGUGGCUGUAGAGAGAUGUGGGAGGUAAAUUUGGCAUUGGCAUUGUCAUCAAGCUUUACCAGACACUCGGCAAAUGUAUUUUAGUUGUCCAUAGAAAUUUUCCCAGGAAGAGACACUUGCGGAGCACAUAAAAUUUGAUCAUGGCUACACUGCUAAGAGCCCAGCAAUUUUAUAUUUACUUGAGAUCAUGGGAUAGUUCACACCUGAGCAGCAGCGGGCCUUCUGCCAGUUUGUUACCGGGGCUCCAAGACUUCCUCCAGGUGGUCUGGCUGUACUGAAUCCAAAGCUGACAAUUGUGCGGAAGCAUUCUUCUACUGCCAGUACUGUACCAACUAAUGGAACUGGUCCUUCAGAGUCGGCAGAUGACGACUUGCCAAGCGUGAUGACUUGUGCUAAUUACUUAAAACUUCCCCCAUAUUCUUCAAAGGUACCAUAUAUAAUUGUAGAAGUUCAUUAUUCUGUCUGUUCACUGUCAUUAGUCAUUUGCAUCUAUCGCUAACUAUUUGCUGCAACUUAAACAGGAGAUUACGUACAAGAAAUUGCUUUACGCUAUCAAUGAAGGGCAAGGAUCUUUUGAUUUAUCGUGAGAUUUUAAGACUAACAAAAAGGUCUGUGUAAAUUAGAAGAUGGGGUCAAUAUCUGGUCUUUGAUGAUCUUGGUGUUGGAAGUAGCAUCAUGUUCUGCAGAUUUCCCAAGAAAUGGCAUCAUUUUUUGUCCUAAAUAUAGGCAAUCCA